CCCCUGUUGGCUCAGCUCCGCCUUGCCCUCCUCGGCAGCCCCUGGCAGCGCCUGGGGGCUUUGGGACCGGACCGCGGCUCUGCCUCCCUCCCGCCCGCGGCGCGGCGGUGAGUCUCAAGUGCGGGGCUCGCUCUGCAAAGUCGCCUUUCCUGCAGGAGUUAUUGCUAAGAAAAAUAUUGGGGGAACGCAUUCCCACUAAAAAUCCAAGCAGCCACAAUGCUAGAUUAUAACAGAAAAUGUCUCUCGGUGUCCACUUUAAAUGUUAACUCCACGCACCCAAAGUCACAGUAAUGACCAAUUCCUGCUCAUGUGAAUUAUAGAAGUAAUCCCAUUUACUUCAGGGAGACCACCUACUUGACUAAGUUUCUUCUGGAGUUGCAAGGAACUCUAUUUAAAAUGCUGUCUAAGUAGUCCUCAUAUUGGGGUGUGUCUGAGAAGCCACGUAUUGCCUAUAUUACUGCAUGGGCACACAGAUCUGGUCACUCACCCUCUGCUGAUGUCUUAUGAUCAGGUAGGACAUUGAAAUUGAGGCAUCAGAAGUAUUAUCACGUUGUACAGUUGACCUUAGUUCCUUUGCUCAUUUCAGUCCUAUUAAGCUAAAAUGUCUUGCAUUUUGGUCUUGUUAAAAGCCACAUCUCCUGAUCUGAAGUUUUUGGAUGAAACACGCAUCUACAGUAUAAUGUGAAUCAAUAAUACUUCAAUUAUCCAGUCUCUGACUGUCUAGUCAUGGACUGGUGACGGUCACAUGGUCAUCCAUGAUUAACCUGGCUGCACAAGAUCAGUAAUAACCCUGAGGAGCUCUUAGAUGCUUGAAAUAAAGCCAAGCAGCGUGGUCAUGGACACUCAACUCUCUGAGCAUAUUAUUGUUGUUGUUGUUAUCCAUAUCAGAUUGUGAAAAUAAGUUAUUUCCUCCAUAUGUUGUGUUUCACAUCUAUACAUGUUUAUUCAGCCUCCCAAAAUUGAUUAUUCUCUCUUUCUAUUAUUCAUUCAUUUGUAUUUAUUUUCCCAUUUAAUUAGCUAUCUAAGAAGAUUAACCAAAUAUGUUUAUCAUCUAGCGGUGAGUUUUAUUUAAAGCAUAUUUGGCUUGCUUACCAUAAAGCUUAUUUUAAACAAAGAUUCUAAGAUUUUUUUUAAACUGUGAGCCAUUUGUUUUUCCUUUUUGUUUACACAAGUUCAAUAAUUGUUAGUUGUAAUGUGCAAAGCAUAGAUAUAACAUAAUGCUGUUUGUUUCUCUCAGUGAAUAAUUACACUUAAACCUAGUUAAUCGUAAUCAAUUAGAAAUAAGCAAGUUAGUCUUGGAGGACAGAGAGAGAAAAUUUGUGGAUAUUUCAUUCUGUUUUAGGAACACAUGAAUUGCCAUGCCAAAUUAGACUGGUGGUCCAGCUAGUGUAGCAUUCUGUCUCAGAGCCCAGUCUGAGAUGUUUCACAGGAAGGUACA